rnacentral:rRNA from 1 species
AACGAACGCUGGCGGCAUGCCUAACACAUGCAAGUCGAACGAGACCUUCGGGUCUAGUGGCGCACGGGUGCGUAACGCGUGGGAACCUGCCCUUAGGUUCGGAAUAACUCCCCGAAAGGGGUGCUAAUACCGGAUAAUGUCUUCGGACCAAAGAUUUAUCGCCUUUGGAUGGGCCCGCGUUGGAUUAGCUAGUUGGUAGGGUAAAAGCCUACCAAGGCGACGAUCCAUAGCUGGUCUGAGAGGAUGAUCAGCCACACUGGGACUGAGACACGGCCCAGACUCCUACGGGAAGCAGCAGUGGGGAAUAUUGGACAAUGGGCGAAAGCCUGAUCCAGCAAUGCCGCGUAAGUGAUGAAGGCCUUAGGGUUGUAAAGCUCUUUUACCCGGGAUGAUAAUGACAGUACCGGGAGAAUAAGCGCCGGCUAACUCCGUG